CUCACAGCUCCAUUCGCGAGUAAUCUUCACCAGCUCCAACAAAUCCAUUCUCUAAUUUGGUGGGUGGAUGGGUAGUAUGCUAAUAGUAUGGUCUCUGUUUUGGUUUGUUUUGUAUGUGUAAGUGCAGGUAUUGGCGCUCGGUAAAGUGGUAGGAAGGAGGGUGUUAAGUAUAAGAAUCAGGGGGUGGAGUUUACUGGUGUUUUAGUUACUCCAUCGUGAGCUUUUACUUCCCCAUUGGUAGUUGACUCCUCUCUUCUACAUUGGUAGUUGACUCCUCUCUUCUACAUCAAACAUCAAUAUGGGGGAUAUUGUAUUUAGUAGUAUUUUGCUUGGUGAGUUGUCCUUCCCCUAUCAUAUUUCUUAUCCCAUCAGAUUUAGAUUUGGUGCUUUUGAUUGUCAUAAGAUGGAUUCUCGUCUUCCAUUUGUGUUUCUUGGCAGGGCCCAACGUAAGGAGGACAAAGGCAGGUGGUGGGGUACCCAGGGUUCGGACCAGGUAGCCAUGAUUGACAGAGGGUGGGGAUGGAGCGUCCAUUAUCAAGCUACCACUAGAGACCUCGUAAAAGAAGAUCCUAGCCAUGAAUCAGGCUCUGCCAUCCCAAAGAAGGAUGCACACCAGCAACAACAUGGAGUACACUGGCAGACCGGUGAUGACGGAGCGGAGGAGGGUAUGAAUGCCUACCGGAGAGAGGCAUUCAUGUUUCCAAGUAUGUAGUCUUUGGGAAAUUUGUCCUUCAAAUAACCCAAAUGUUAUAACUCUGGAAUGCAGCACAAUUGAAGGAAGACCCAGGUACCGAUCUGUGUCUGUUGCAAUAGGUGCACCAAGUAAGCGAGCGUAAACCUGUUGUACGUCUAGAGACACAUUGGAACUGAAGUGUACUAUUGAUUCCAACAGAUUUUUACACGUUCGCCACACAUUGCUUCUAGAGGACGAGCAGAUUACGGAAAGUACCAAUAAUGGUAGAGGAGACUUGGAGAACCAGUGUUGUGUCGUCAGCGAACAUAAGGUGAGAGAUAACUGGGGUCGAGCGAGAGACUCCUAUGCCACAAAGCAGAGUGGCACGUCGAUGAUUGUGAAUUAGCGGUGUUAGCCCUUCAAAGCAAAGGGCAAAGAGUAGGGGCGACAGGGGGUCACCAUGAUGGAGACCCCUCAAAGGACUAAAGAAACCAUAUGGGGACCCAUUAACCAAGGCCGAUAUAAUUGUAGAAGAUAAGCAUUCCACAACAAGACUUAGCCAUUGAUUUGGGAACCCGAGUCGCUCAAGCAAGAGAAAAAGGAAAUCCCAUUCAACGCUGUUAUAUGCCUUCUCCAUAUCAUGCUUGAGAGCCAUGAAAUGGCGGCUGAAAGUGUGAAACUUGAGAAAGUGCAUGGGUUCAUGGGAUAGGAGGACAUUAUCCAUGAUGGAGCGUUGUCUGACAAAUCUAUUUUGAUUUAUGCUGACGAUGGAAGGGAGAAUCGCACCAAGUUUGGCUGUGAUGAUCUUGGAUAUGAUUUUGUAGAAGACCGUAUAGAGGAUAAUAGGUCUCAGCAGGCGCAUAGAAUCAGCCUCGUCCACUUUGGAAAGGAGAGUAAGCCAAGUAUGGUUUAAAGAUCGAAGAAGCCGGACAGAUCGGAAGAACUCAUGUGCUGCCGCUGUGAUAUCUGACCCCACAAUUGACCAAAAGCGAUGGAAGAAGAGACCUGUGAAGCCAUCCGACCUUGGAACUUCAAUCAAACCAAUUGAAAAGACAUCAAUGCAAAUUUCAAUAGCGAAGACAGUUGCUUCCAGAGCCAUGGCCAUCCUGGCGGUGAUAAGGGUAUGAAUGUCCAGAGAGCUGAGGUCAGGUGGCCCCACUAAUUGGGAGCUAAAUAGUUGUUUAUAAAAGUUUAGUUCUAGGGAGCCUUUAUCAACCUCCGAGGAUAGCGGAUGCCUGAUUAUGAGACUAGAUCACCUAGACGGUUACGUUUCCUGGAAGCUUGAACAGAGCGAUGGAAACAUACGGUAUUGCAAUCUCCACCUUGGUGCCAACCAAAUCGGCCUUUUGAUGCCAGUACAUGUCUUCCUGGUGACGUGCUGAGUCAAGAUCUAUUUCUAAUCGACGAACUUCCCCAGGGGACAGGUUUUUAUCCCAAAGCCAACCAAUAAGCAUCCUUAAGGUCAUCUAAUAGUCUGGCAGAGUUGGAUGUGCCGGCACGACACCCAUCAAAUAACGCGUAACGGAGGGUUUUUAGAUUGUGGCGCGGGCGAAACAUAAUCUUACUAGUAGGGGGUUGGAUUUCUCAGUAGUCCUCCACCAGACCACCAACCUCCUGAUUAUUGGCCCACCAACAGUCAAAGUGGAACAACCGUUUAGCAUGUGGUGUGGAUUGCAUAGCAGUGAAGAAAAUGGAAGCAUGAUCUGAGGUGACCAGGAGGAGUUGGCGAACAGUUGCCUCUGGCCAACCAUCUAACCAAGAGGCUGAGGAUAGGAAGCGGUCCAAGCAUUUUUGGAUUUUAUCUUGGCCUUGAUGGUAGGAUUUUAUCUUGGCCUUGAUGGUAGUUGGACCAAGUGAAAUCGGCACCUUGAUAACCCAAGUCAACAAGACUUUGAAAAGAAACGAACGUUUGGCAGCAAUCCACACGGGCCAGAAUCGACGGGCGACCCCCUUGCUGUUCAGAGUGGAUUAAGAUGUCAUUAAAAUCUCCAAAACAAAGGAGGGGACCAUCGAGAUCAGAGAGAAUAUGUUCAAGGUGUGAAUAUUGAGAGUCUCAGACUUGGUAAUCGAUAGAAAGAUGGACUCCAAUCAAAUAAACCAACUUCAAUGCUUUGUAUUCAUAACAAAUUCGCAAUGCAAAGGAUGUAGAACACACCAUAGUACUAGAAGUAGGAAACACACUAGCUAAAGCAAGACUAGUGUCCUAACGUGCUGUAUGAGAAAAAAUUGAAAAGGAAAAACCAAGAGACAAAAGUAACGAGGAACAAUCAGAAUUAGACAAACAAGCUUCACAAAGGAAAAGAAAUUGCGAGGUGAGACAACAGACAUAAUCUUUAAGAUCCCGAAACUGUCAAGGUGCCGCCAAGUCCCCGACAGUUCCAAGCAAAAGCAAUCAUACCACCAUGGUAGGCUCGUCACUUGCAAGCACACCGUCGAUGCCGUAAUGGGAAGAUUCUGUCGGACGACAAGUCCAAGUUGAAGAACUGGCAGAUUCCAUGGAUUUUCUAGGAGAAUUCGG
rnacentral:lncRNA from 1 species